AUGGAUGGACCCCUCCCCCGUGAAUGUAUGUAGUUCUUUUUUGAAACUUGCUGUAGUCUUGGCCUUCACAACAUCCUCUGGCAAGGAGUUCCACAGGUUCACAGUGCGUUGUGUGAAGAAAUACUUCUUUUAUUUGUUUUAAACCUACUGCCUAUUAUUU